rnacentral:rRNA from 1 species
GGGGGCGGUGGAGCNUAACAUGCAAGUCGAGCGGUAGAGAGAAGCUUGCUUCUCUUGAGAGCGGCGGACGGGUGAGUAAUGCCUAGGAAUCUGCCUGGUAGUGGGGGAUAACGUUCGGAAACGGACGCUAAUACCGCAUACGUCCUACGGGAGAAAGCAGGGGACCUUCGGGCCUUGCGCUAUCAGAUGAGCCUAGGUCGGAUUAGCUAGUUGGUGGGGUAAUGGCUCACCAAGGCGACGAUCCGUAACUGGUCUGAGAGGAUGAUCAGUCACACUGGAACUGAGACACGGUCCAGACUCCUACGGGAGGCAGCAGUGGGGAAUAUUGGACAAUGGGCGAAAGCCUGAUCCAGCCAUGCCGCGUGUGUGAAGAAGGUCUUCGGAUUGUAAAGCACUUUAAGUUGGGAGGAAGGGUUGUAGAUUAAUACUCUGCAAUUUUGACGUUACCGACAGAAUAAGCACCGGCUAACUCUGUGCCAGCAGCCGCGGUAAUACAGAGGGUGCAAGCGUUAAUCGGAAUUACUGGGCGUAAAGCGCGCGUAGGUGGUUUGUUAAGUUGGAUGUGAAAUCCCCGGGCUCAACCUGGGAACUGCAUUCAAAACUGACUGACUAGAGUAUGGUAGAGGGUGGUGGAAUUUCCUGUGUAGCGGUGAAAUGCGUAGAUAUAGGAAGGAACACCAGUGGCGAAGGCGACCACCUGGACUAAUACUGACACUGAGGUGCGAAAGCGUGGGGAGCAAACAGGAUUAGAUACCCUGGUAGUCCACGCCGUANACGAUGUCAACUAGCCGUUGGAAGCCUUGAGCUUUUAGUGGCGCAGCUAACGCAUUAAGUUGACCGCCUGG